rnacentral:rRNA from 1 species
CACGGGGGGAGCAAGCGUUGUUCGGAAUCACUGGGCGUAAAGGGCGUGUAGGCGGUCAAGUAAGUGGGAUGUGAAAUCCCUCGGCUCACCCGAGGACCUGCAUCCCAAACUGCUUGGCUUGAGUAUGGGAGAGGAUGAGGGAAUUCCUGGUGUAGCGGUGAAAUGCGCAGAUAUCGGGAGGGACACCGGUGGCGAAGGCGGUUCUCUGGGCCUGUACUGACGCUGAGGAGCGAAAGCGUGGGGAGCGAACAGG